UACGGGGGGGGCAAGCGUUGUUCGGAAUUACUGGGCGUAAAGGGCUCGUAGGCGGCCAACUAAGUCGGACGUGAAAUCCCUCGGCUCAACCGGGGAAGGGGCGCCGAUACGAGUGGCCUGGAGGGAGGUAGGGGGAGCCGGAACUGCCGGUGGAGCGGUGAAAUGCGUUGAGAUCGGCAGGAACGCCCGUGGCGAAAGCGGGCUCCUGGACC
rnacentral:rRNA from 1 species